AACGUAGGUGGCGAGCGUUGUUCGGAAUCACUGGGCAUAAAGCGCGCGUAGGCGGCUAGGUCAGUCGGGUGUGAAAGCCCUCGGCUCAACCGAGGAACUGCGCCCGAUACUGCCUGGCUUGAGGGCCGGAGGGGAGAGUGGAAUUCCCGGUGGAGCGGUGAAAUGCGUAGAGAUCGGGAAGAACGCCGGCGGCGAAAGCGACUCUCUGGACGGUACCUGACGCUGAGGCGCGAAAGCUAGGGGAG
rnacentral:rRNA from 1 species